rnacentral:rRNA from 1 species
GACGAACGCUGGCGGCGUGCUUAACACAUGCAAGUCGAACGGAAAGGCCCUGCUUUUGUGGGGUGCUCGAGUGGCGAACGGGUGAGUAACACGUGAGUAACCUGCCCUUGACUUUGGGAUAACUUCAGGAAACUGGGGCUAAUACCGGAUAGGAGCUCCUGCUGCAUGGUGGGGGUUGGAAAGUUUCGGCGGUUGGGGAUGGACUCGCGGCUUAUCAGCUUGUUGGUGGGGUAGUGGCUUACCAAGGCUUUGACGGGUAGCCGGCCUGAGAGGGUGACCGGCCACAUUGGGACUGGGAUACGGCCCAGACUCCUACGGGAGGAAGAGGUGGGGAAUAUUGCACAAUGGGCGGAAGCCGGAUGCAGCAACGCCGGGUGCGGGAGGACGGCCUUCGGGUUGUAAACCGCUUUCGCGUGUGACGAAGCGUGAGUGACGGUAAUGGGUAAAGAAGCACCGGCUAACUACGU